UACGGAGGAUCCGAGCGUUAUCCGAAUUUAUUGGGUUUAAAGGGUGCGCAGGCGGGAGAUUAAGUCGGCGGUGAAAUUUUGCAGCUCAACUGUAAAAGUGCCUUCGAAACUGGUUUCCUUGAGUGUAGCUGAAGUAGGCGGAAUUUGUGGUGUAGCGGUGAAAUGCAUAGAUAUCACGAGGAACUCCGAUUGCGCAGGCAGCUUACUAAACUACUACUGACGCUCAUGCACGAAGGCGUGGGGAUCAAACAGGAUUAGAUACCCU
rnacentral:rRNA from 1 species